AGUUUGAUCCUGGCUCAAGAUGAACACUGGCUCGCUGCUUAACUCAUGCCAGUCAAACGGAACUGCUUGGAUGAAGUUUUCGGAUGGAUUUUAAACAGUUUAGUGGCGGACGGGUGAGUAACGCAGUGGGUAACCUGCCUCACACUGGGUGGAUAACAGUUCCAAAAUAUCGUGCUAAUACCGCAUAACCGCACAGCUCCGCGUGGGAAUAAUGUGAAAAACUCCCGUGGUGUGAGAUGGACCCGGGUUUGAUUAGCCAGUUGGCGGGGUAACGGCCCCCCCAAGCGACAAUCCGUAGCCGGCCUGAGAGGAUGAAUGGCCCCCUUGGGAAUGAGAUCCGGCUCAGACUUCUUCGGGAGGCAGCAGUGGGGAAUUUUGGCCAAUGGGGGACACCCUGACCCAGCAACGCCGCGUGAAGGAAGAAGGCCUUUGGGUUGUAAACUUUUAUUAGCAGGGAAGAAAAUGACGGUACCUGAAUGAGAAACCCCGGCUAAAUUCGUGCCAGCAGCCGCGGUAAUAAGUAGGGGGCAAGCGUUAUCCGGAUUUUCUGGGUGUAAAGGGAGGGUAGACGGCUGUGCAAGUUUGAAGUGAAAGCCCGGGGCUUCACCCCGGGUAUGCUCUGGAAACUGUGCAGCUAGAGUGUAGGAGAGGCAAGCGGAAUUCCCAGUGUAGCGGUGAAAUGCGUAGAUAUUAGGAGGAACACCAGUGGCGAAGGCGGCUUUCUGGACGAUGACUGACGUUGAGGCUCGAAAGCGUGGGGAGCAAACAGGAUUAGAUACCCUGGUAGUCCACGCCGUAAACGAUGACUACUAGGUGUCGGAGGUUACCCCUUUAGUCGCGGCAGCUAAGAGCAUUUAGUGCUCCGUUUGGGGAGUGUGCACCGAAGUGUGAAAAUCAACGGAAGUGUUGGGGAGCCGUACAAGUAGCGGAGCAUGUGGUUUUAUUCGUAGCGUCGCGUCGAUCUUUUCCUAGGCGUGACAUCUUUAUGACCGAGGGGUAAUCUUCUCUUUCCCUCCGGGGACAGAUGUGACAGGUGGUCCAUGGUCGUUGUUAGCUAGUGUUGUGUGAUGUUGGGGUAAGUCCCG
rnacentral:rRNA from 1 species